rnacentral:rRNA from 1 species
UACGUAGGUGGCAAGCGUUGUCCGGAUUUAUUGGGUUUAAAGGGUGCGUAGGCGGCCCUGUAAGUCAGUGCUGAAAUAUCCCGGCUUAACCGGGAGGGUGGCAUUGAUACUGCAGGGCUUGAGUAAAGUUGAGGUUGGCGGAAUUGACGGUGUAGCGGUGAAAUGCAUAGAUAUCGUCAAGAACACCGAUAGCGAAGGCAGCUUACUGGGCUGUAACUGACGCUGAGGCACGAAAGUGUGGGGAUCAAACAGG